UACAUAGGGUGCAAGCGUUGUCCGGAAUUAUUGGGCGUAAAGAGCUCGUAGGACGUUUGCCGCGUCGAUUGUGAAAAUCUGAGGCUCAACCUCAGACCUGCAGUCGAUACGGGCAAACUAGAGUGUGGUAGGGGAGACUGGAAUUCCUGGUGUAGCGGUGGAAUGCGCAGAUAUCAGGAGGAACACCAAUGGCGAAGGCAGGUCUCUGGGCCAUAACUGACACUGAGGAGCGAAAGCGCGGGGAGCGAACAGGAUUAGAUACCCUGGUAGUCCGCGCCGUAAACGAUGGGCACUAGCUGUGAGAGCCUUCCACGGUUCUCGCGACGCAGCAAACGCAUUAAGUGCCCCGCCUGGGGAGUACGAUCGCAAGAUUAAAACUCAAAGGAAUUGACGGGGCCCCGCACAAGCAGCGGAGCAUGCGGCUUAAUUCGACGCAACGCGAAGAACCUUACCAAGGCUUGACAUAUAGCGAAAAGUGGCAGAGAUGUCAUGUCCGCAAGGGCGCUAUACAGGUGGUGCAUGGUUGUCGUCAGCUCGUGUCGUGAGAUGUUGGGUUAAGUCCCGCAACGAGCGCAACCCUCGUUCUGUGUUACCAGCAUUCAGUUGGGGACUCACAGGAGACUGCCGGGGUCAACUCGGAGGAAGGUGGGGAUGACGUCAAAUCAUCAUGCCCCUUAUGUCUUGGGCUGCACGCAUGCUACAAUGGCCGGUACAAAGUGCUGCGAAAUCGUAAGAUUUAGCGAAUCACAUAAAGCCGGUCUCAGUUCGGAUUGAGGUCUGCAACUCGACCUCAUGAAGUCGGAGUUGCUAGUAAUCGUAGAUCAGCAACGCUACGGUGAAUACGUUCCCGGGGCU
rnacentral:rRNA from 1 species